rnacentral:rRNA from 1 species
GAUGAACGCUGGCGGCGUGCCUAAUACAUGCAAGUCGAGCGAACGGACGAGAAGCUUGCUUCUCUGAUGUUAGCGGCGGACGGGUGAGUAACACGUGGAUAACCUACCUAUAAGACUGGGAUAACUUCGGGAAACCGGAGCUAAUACCGGAUAAUAUUUUGAACCGCAUGGUUCAAAAGUGAAAGACGGUCUUGCUGUCACUUAUAGAUGGAUCCGCGCUGCAUUAGCUAGUUGGUAAGGUAACGGCUUACCAAGGCAACGAUGCAUAGCCGACCUGAGAGGGUGAUCGGCCACACUGGAACUGAGACACGGUCCAGACUCCUACGGGAGGCAGCAGUAGGGAAUCUUCCGCAAUGGGCGAAAGCCUGACGGAGCAACGCCGCGUGAGUGAUGAAGGUCUUCGGAUCGUAAAACUCUGUUAUUAGGGAAGAACAGAUGUGUAAGUAACUGUGCACAUCUUGACGGUACCUAAGCAGAAAGCCACGGCUAACUACGU